rnacentral:rRNA from 1 species
GGCUCAGGAUGAACGCUAGCGGCAGGCUUAACACAUGCAAGUCGAGGGGCAUCGGGAGUAGCAAUACUUGCCGGCGACCGGCGCAAGGGUGCGUAACGCGUGAGCAACAUGCCCGUAUCAGGGGGAUAAUCCAUGGAAACGUGGUCUAAUACCCCAUAGUAAUUAUGUAAGGCAUCUUAUAUAAUUUAAAGCUUUGGUGGAUACGGAUUGGCUCGCGUGACAUUAGCUAGAUGGUAAGGUAACGGCUUACCAUGGCUACGAUGUCUAGGGGUUCUGAGAGGAAGGUCCCCCCACACUGGAACUGAGACACGGUCCAGACUCCUACGGGAGGCAGCAGUGAGGAAUAUUGGACAAUGGAUGGAAAUCUGAUCCAGCCAUGCCGCGUGCAAGGAAGACGGCCCUAUGGGUUGUAAACUGCUUUUGUAUGGGAGCAAUAAGGGCUACGUGUAGUCCGAUGAGAGUACCAUACGAAUAAGCACCGGCUAACUCCGUGCCAGCCGCUGC